rnacentral:rRNA from 1 species
GACGAACGCUGGCGGCGUGCUUAACACAUGCAAGUCGAACGGAAAGGCCCUGCUUUUGUUGGGUGCUCGAGUGGCGAACGGGUGAGUAACACGUGAGUAACCUGCCCUUGACUUUGGGAUAACUUCAGGAAACUGGGGCUAAUACCUGAUAGGAUCUCCUGCUGCAUGGUGUGGGUUGGAAAGUUUCGGCGGUUGGGGAUGGACUCGCGGCUUAUCAGCUUGUUUGUGGGGUAGUGGCUUACCAAGGCUUUGACGGGUAGCCGGCCUGAGAGGGUGACCGGCAAAAUUGGGACUGAGAUACGGCCCAGACUACUACGGGAGGCAGCAGUGGGGAAUAUUGCAGAAUGGGAGGAAGCAUGAUGCAGAAAAGCAGCGUGCGGGAUGAAGGCCUUCGGGUUGUAAAAAGAAUUAGAAUGUGAAGAAGAGUGAGUGACGGUAAUGGGUAAAGAAGCACCGGCUAACUACGUG